GGGAACGUGGUGUAGUGGUUUGAGUGUUGGACUACGACUCUGGAGACCAGGGUUGGAGUCCUUGCUUGGCCA